UACGAAGGGGGCUAGCGUUGUUCGGAAUUACUGGGCGUAAAGCGCGCGCAGGCGGUCCUUUAAGUCAGGGGUGAAAGCCCAGAGCUCAACUCUGGAACUGCCUUUGAAACUAGAGGACUUGGGUACGGGAGAGGUGAGUGGAAUUCCGGAGUGUAGAGGUGAAAUUCGUAGAUAUUCGGAAGAACACCAGUGGCGAAGGCGGCUCACUGGCCCGGUACUGACGCUGAGGUGCGAAAGCGUGGGGAGCAAACAGG
rnacentral:rRNA from 1 species